AGCCUCUCGGCGGCCAUGGCGGCGUACGGGCUGGUGGCUUCAUCCCUUCCGUGGUUGACCUGGGACACUGCAGUCGACCCUCCAUAGCUCUCGGCCUGCUGGCGGGAAGACUGCGUCUCGUACUGCUGAUCGUAAAAAAAAGCGUCGCGUUCUUUUCCCUCCGAGGGCUCAGUCGCCCUAAUAUGUGCAGCAGACUAACCUUGCGGGAGUUUGUCUGCUGGGAAUUAAGAAGCUGUGAGGACAUGUUGGGGUCUUCGGAAAGCUGGUGACAAAGCUCUGCUCGUGGUGUGAACUUGAUGCCCAAUGCGCAGCCGUGGCCCAUUGAGAUCCAGGAGCCAGGAAGAAUAAGGCCUUUUGGUCACGUGACUGAUCAGGACAGGUGCAGAUGUGAUUAUAGACCAUGAGCUUCAAAUGUGGCCUCUGACUUCACCAGGGACCUGCAGAACCACCCAUACAGGCUUUGGGCAGCUCCACACUUCUAUCCUGGCAGCCCACAUCCUAAAUUACAGACCACAUUGUGUUGGCUUGAACUGUUCCUUCAAGACUGAAGUGAGAUAUGUGUAGUAGCACUAGAGGUGGAGGGCCCUCUUAAGAUCCAGCAUUUCCAUCUAACCAACUGCAUGGGGCCUUAGAAGUGAUAAUUAUGGAGGGAGGAGAAGCUAGCUGUAGGUGCUUGUGACACAAAUAAACUUGUUAAUUCCUGAA